rnacentral:misc_RNA from 1 species
AACACUGUUAACCUGCGGUACCUGCGGAGGGAUCAUUACCGAGUUUACAACUCCCAAACCCCUGUGAACAUACCUAUACGUUGCCUCGGCGGAUCAGCCCGCGCCCUGUAAAAAGGGACGGCCCGCCCGAGGACCCUAAACUCUGUUUUUAGUGGAACUUCUGAGUAAAACAAACAAAUAAAUCAAAACUUUCAGCAAUGGAUCU